CUGGAGUUUAUUAUUUGUAGUUACUAUUCAUGGAGUUUGGAGUGAGAUCAAACUGGACCAGUCUUCCUCUGAGGUGAAAAGACCUGGAGAGACAGUGAAGAUGUCAUGUAUCAUAUCUGGUUAUAGCAUGACA